UACGGAGGGUGCAAGCGUUAUCCGGAUUCACUGGGUUUAAAGGGAGCGUAGGUGGGUCUGUAAGUCAGUGGUGAAAUCUCCGUGCUUAACAUGGAAACUGCCUUGAUACUAUAGGUCUUGAAUUAUCUGGAGGUUAGCGGAAUAUGUCAUGUAGCGGUGAAAUGCUUAGAUAUGACAUAGAACACCGAUUGCGAAGGCAGCUAACUACGGGAUGAUUGACACUGAUGCACGAAAGCGUGGGGAUCAAACAGG
rnacentral:rRNA from 1 species